GGUUUUAUGGUGUAAUGGUUAGCACUCUGGACUCUGAAUCCAGCGAUCCGAGUUCAAGUCUCGGUAGAACCU
rnacentral:tRNA from 1 species